rnacentral:sRNA from 23 species
GAAAAUCGCAAUGGUUCUCGUAGUGGUGAUAUCGCGCAUGGGCAGGACGGUCUGAUCGUCCGGCAAUAGCCACCCAUGCGCCGAAAACAGGUCCCUGACGGGGCCUUUUUUUAUGCCCCG